UCGUACGCGAAAGGGGAGCAAUCCCUGAGUAGAGUGGCAAACGGGUGAGUAACACGUGGGUGACCUGCCUCAGAGUGGGGGAUAACGUCCCGAAAGGGACGCUAAUACCGCAUAACAUCCUGCCUUUGGAAAGGCGGAGAUCAAAGCCGGGGAUCGCAAGACCUGGCGCUUGGAGAGGGGCCCGCGUCUGAUUAGCUAGUUGGUAGGGUAAUGGCCUACCAAGGCGACGAUCAGUAUCCGGCCUGAGAGGGCGGACGGACACACUGGGACUGAGACACGGCCCAGACUCCUACGGGAGGCAGCAGUGGGGAAUUGUUCGCAAUGGGCGCAAGCCUGACGACGCAACGCCGCGUGGAGGAUGAAGAUCUUCGGGUCGUAAACUCCUGUCGAGCGGGAAGAACACUUUCCGGGUGAACAAUCCGGAAGGCUGACGGUACCGCUAAAGGAAGCCCCGGCUAACUCCGUGCCAGCAGCCGCGGUAAUACGGGGGGGGCAAGCGUUG
rnacentral:rRNA from 1 species